AUGAACGCUGGCGGCGUGCCUAAUACAUGCAAGUCGAGCGAACAGACGAGGAGCUUGCUCCUCUGACGUUAGCGGCGGACGGGUGAGUAACACGUGGAUAACCUACCUAUAAGACUGGGAUAACUUCGGGAAACCGGAGCUAAUACCGGAUAAUAUAUUGAACCGCAUGGUUCAGUAGUGAAAGACGGUUUUGCUGUCACUUAUAGAUGGAUCCGCGCCGCAUUAGCUAGUUGGUAAGGUAACGGCUUACCAAGGCAACGAUGCGUAGCCGACCUGAGAGGGUGAUCGGCCACACUGGAACUGAGACACGGUCCAGACUCCUACGGGAGGCAGCAGUAGGGAAUCUUCCGCAAUGGGCGAAAGCCUGACGGAGCAACGCCGCGUGAGUGAUGAAGGUCUUCGGAUCGUAAAACUCUGUUAUUAGGGAAGAACAAAUGUGUAAGUAACUAUGCACGUCUUGACGGUACCUAAUCAGAAAGCCACGGCUAACUACGU
rnacentral:rRNA from 1 species